rnacentral:rRNA from 1 species
UACGUAGGUGGCAAGCGUUGUCCGGGUUUAUUGGGUUUAAAGGGUGCGUAGGCGGCCCUGUAAGUCAGUGCUGAAAUAUCCCGGCUUAACCGGGAGGGUGGCAUUGAUACUGCAGGGCUUGAGUACAGAUGAGGUAGGCGGAAUUGACGGUGUAGCGGUGAAAUGCAUAGAUAUCGUCAAGAACACCGAUAGCGAAGGCAGCUUACCAAGCUGUAACUGACGCUGAGGCACGAAAGUGUGGGGAUCAAACAGG